rnacentral:lncRNA from 1 species
AGAAACCACAUUUGCAAAGCCUCCUUUCAGCAGUGUGGGACUGAGUAUAUACUAGAUUCCUAAGUACUUUUUGAAUUUUCACUUGGAGAAGUAGGUUACUGCUAGAUGUCUCCCCAGGCAGGACAACACCUCUGGCAAGGAGACAGCUUGUUAAAGACUGUAAGGACCAAGUUGGAGAUGCACAAGAAGCAGUAUUAUUCAUUUACGCUUCUCAGAAACAAAUUUAAUCUCAAGUAGAAUGUAUCCAAACAUUCUAGUAGCAUUUUCAUUAAUGCAUUUGUGUUGAGGUAAAGCAGUAAUUGCAAAACCCAACAUCGUGUUGUUCAGACUUCUAUUUCUUGAGCUGAUAAUUUCUUUGCUCCUCUUAGUUAUUUGUGUCCAGUGUUCAUUGUUCUCUCUUAUUCCUGAGGAAAUAGCAUAAUGAUUAUAAAGUGCUCUCCGUAGGCAUUAUCUUUGUUGUCAUUUUGCUUCAUGAUUGCUCCUGCCAUGAUGAGUGAGCACCUUCCCAAGCAGUACCUGCUAAGAAACAACUGUUUUUGAAGAUUGCUAUGUGACAUCCUCAAGAACAUUUGAGCUGAAGAAAAGCUGUCAUUUUAUCUGAAAGGACAAAUUCAAGAUAUGAAGUUUUCAUAUACGUUUGUUCUAUAUGAUACCUCCAAAAAAAUUAAGGAGUGCCAGCUCCAAGGGAGAUGAGGGAGUCCUGUGGGUGAUCAUGUUGACAGAAGGACUAACAGACCUGGCAGAGGUGAAAGCAGUGGUGAGAGGAAUUAGCACGCAAUGA